rnacentral:rRNA from 1 species
GACGGAGGGUGCAAGCGUUAUCCGGAUUCACUGGGUUUAAAGGGCGCGUAGGCGGGCAGGUAAGUCAGUGGUGAAAUCUCCAAGCUUAACUUGGAAACUGCCGUUGAUACUAUCUGUCUUGAAUACCGUGGAGGUGAGCGGAAUAUGUCAUGUAGCGGUGAAAUGCUUAGAUAUGACAUAGAACACCAAUUGCGAAGGCAGCUCACUACACGAAUAUUGACGCUGAGGCACGAAAGCGUGGGGAUCAAACAGG